rnacentral:rRNA from 1 species
UACAUGGGGUGCAAACGUUGCUCGGAAUUAUUGGGCGUAAAGCGCACGUAGGCGGUUUGUUAAGUCGGAUGUGAAAUCCCUCGGCUCAACUGAGGAAGUGCAUCCGAAACUGGCAGGCUUGAGUACUAAAGAGGGUAGUGGAAUUCCCGGUGUAGUGGUGAAAUGCGUAGAUAUCGGGAGGAACACCAGUGGCGAAGGCGACUACCUGGCCUGUUCUUGACGCUGAGGCGCGAAAGCUAGGGGAGCAAACAGG